rnacentral:ncRNA from 1 species
UAAGUGGUGUGUUAGAAAACAAGGACAGGUAUGAAGUUUUUGCAAGUUUGCUAGGUGUGUGUUUGAGAGGAGAAAAAGAGUGAGAAAUGUGCAGUGAAAGAUAAGUGUGUUGAGGGUGCAGGGGGGGCACUGCGUGCUGAAGGCUGUGCCAGAUCCGCGUAAUGACCUUUGGUGAGUUGCGACACCACGUACCCGAGCAGGUCCACCAGCACCGGAUUGAGUAGGCGAUCCAACUGGUAACAGUCUUAGACUACGAAAAUCCCACAGGUGAUUUACCGGUACCGCGGGGGUUGGGGGCCCACCGGACAUGUCCGGGCCCAACCAUGGGUAGGACCAUCGCGGGGUCAAUGGUUUGAAGCCAAAUGCUGGCUAGAAACCCCUUUGGGGUCUUCGUCGUGUUAACCGCGUAUCGGCUCGGGCACCAGCCUGCUAAGCUGGUAGAGCAUGGAUAGUCGCUCGCUCCAACCAGAGAGUUGCUGGAAGACCCUACAAUCUUCCAGUGUACUGGUAGUCUCUUCCUUGGAGGAGACGCGCUGAUCCGGCGUACCCGGAUUUCUUGUCCAUUGGGACCGUGAGGAUUAGGCUCUCGGAGCAGGUGCCGCACGUAAACAAAUAACUUUAAAUGUCCCUAUCUACUAUCUAGCGAAACUACUGCCAAGGGAACGGGCUUGGAAAAAUUAGCGAGGAAAGAAGACACUGUUGAGCUUGACUCUAGUCUGGCACUGUAAGGAGACAUGAGAGGUGUAGCAUAAGUGAGAGAUGGCAACAUCGCCGGUGAAAUACCACUACUUUCAUCGUUUCCUUACUUACUCGGUUGGGCGGAGCGCGUGCCCCGAGGGCCUCAUGCCCCGGCGGUCACGGUGUUCUAGAGCCAAGCGUGUCAGAGUGGCGAGAGGCCUCGGCCGAUCGCCGUUAAUACUCCCGCGUGAUCCGAUUCGAGGACACUGCCAGG